rnacentral:rRNA from 3 species
UCCGGUUGAUCCUGCCGGACUCCACUGCUAUCGGGGUAAGGCUAAGCCAUGCAAGUCGAAGGCCUCCGGCUCCGGGGGCCUGGCGUACGGCUGAGUAACGCGUGGCCAACCUGCCCUGCGGAGGGGGAUAACCCCGGGAAACUGGGGAUAAACCCCCAUAGGUGACCGGGUCUGGAAGGACCGGUCGCCGAAAGUCCCGGUCGGGGAUGCUCCGGCCGGGAGCCGCAGGAUGGGGCUGCGUCCUAUCAGGUAGUUGGUGGGGUAACGGCCCACCAAGCCUGUGACGGGUAGGGGCCCUGAGAGGGGGAGCCCCCAGAUGGACUCUGAGACAAGAGUCCAGGCCCUACGGGGCGCAGCAGGCGCGAAAACUCCGCAAUGGGCGAAAGCCCGACGGGGUUACCCCGAGUGCCACCCUCGUGGUGGCUUUUGCCCGCUCUAAAAAGGCGGGCGAAUAAGGGGAGGGCAAGUCGGGUGUCAGCCGCCGCGGUAAUACCCGCUCCCCGAGUGGUGGAGGCUAUUACUGGGCCUAAAGCGCCCGUAGCCGGCCCGGUGUGUCCCUCGUUAAAUCCACGGGCUUAACCCGUGGGCUGCGGGGGAUACUACCGGGCUUGGGGGUGGGAGAGGCGCCCGGUAUUCCCGGGGUAGGGGUAAAAUCCUCUGAUCCCGGGAGGACCAUCAGUGGCGAAGGCGGGGCGCCAGAACACGCCCGACGGUGAGGGGCGAAAGCUGGGGGAGCAAACGGGAUUAGAUACCCCGGUAGUCCCAGCUGUAAACGAUGCGGGCUAGCUGUCGGGGCGGCUACGGGCCGCCCCGGUGGCGAAGGGAAGCCAUUAAGCCCGCCGCCUGGGGAGUACGGCCGCAAGGCUGAAACUUAAAGGAAUUGGCGGGGGAGCACCACAAGGGGUGGACGUUGCGGCUUAAUCGGAUUCAACGCCGGAAACCUUACCGGGGCUGACGGCAGGAUGAAGGUCGGGCUGACGACCCUACCUGACGAGCCGAGAGGAGGUGCAUGGCCGUCGCCGGUGCGUGCCGUGAGGUGUCCUGUUAAGUCAGGCAACGGACGAGACCCGCGCCCCCAGUUGCCAGCGGCCGAGAGGCGCCGGGCACUCUGGGGGGACUGCCCCCGAAAGGGGGAGGAAGGAGCGGGCUACGGCAGGUCGGUAUGCCCCGAAUGCCCCGGGCCGCACGCGACGUUCAAUGGCGGGGACAGCGGGAUGCGACCCCGAAAGGGGGAGCCAACCCCUAAACCCCGCCUCAGUAGGGAUCGAGGGUUGCAACUCGCCCUCGUGAACGCGGAAUCCCUAGUAACCGCGCGUUAACACCGCGCGGUGAAUACGUCCCCGCUCCUUGCACACACUGCCCAUCGCUCCACCCGAGCUGGGUUUGGGUGAGGCCCGCUCAAGUUGGGCGGGUCGAGCCCGAACCCGGUGAGGGGGGAGAAGUUGUAACAAGGUAGCCGCACCGGAAGGUGUGGCUG